AAAAGCUCGUAGUUGGAUUUUGGUUAAGAGGGCGCGGUCGGCCGUUUGGUCUGUACUGCGUUGUCUUGACUUCCUGAUGAGGACAUGCUCUUGGUUAACGCUGAGACAUGGAGUCAUCGUGGUUACUUUGAAAAAAUUAGAGUGUUCAAAGCGGGCUUACGCUUGAAUAUAUUAGCAUGGAAUAACACUAUAGGACUCCUGUCCUAUCUCGUUGGUCUCGGGAUGGGAGUAAUGAUUAAGAGGAACAGUUGGGGGCAUUCGUAUUUCAUUGUCAGAGGUGAAAUUCUUGGAUUUAUGAAAGACGAACUUCUGCGAAAGCAUUUGCCAAGGAUGUUUUCAUUAAUCAAGAACGAAAGUUGGGGGCUCGAAGAUGAUUAGAUACCAUCCUAGUCUCAACCAUAAACGAUGCCGACUAGGGAUUGGUGGAUGUUAAUUGAUGACUUCACCAGCACCUUAUGAGAAAUCAAAGUUUUUGGGUUCCGGGGGGAGUAUGGUCGCAAGGCUGAAACUUAAAGGAAUUGACGGAAGGGCACCACCAGG
rnacentral:rRNA from 1 species